rnacentral:rRNA from 1 species
UAGGGAAUAUUGGUCAAUGGACGGAAGUCUGAACCAGCCAUGCCGCGUGCAGGAAGAAGGCGCUCUGCGUUGUAAACUGCUUUAGUACGGGAGCAAAAGUUCGAUGCGUCGGAGAUAGAGCGUACCGUAAGAAUAAGCCACGGCUAACUACGUGCCAGCAGCCGCGGUAAUACGUAGGUGGCAAGCGUUGUCCGGAUUUAUUGGGUUUAAAGGGUGCGUAGGCUGUUUAUUAAGUCAGCGGUGAAAUAGGUUUGCUUAACAGACCGGCUGCCGACGAUACUGAUAGACUUGAGUGAUAUAGGAGUAGCGGGAAUUGAACGAGUAGCGGUGAAAUGCAUAGAUAUGUUCAAGAACGCCGAUAGCGAAGGCACGUUACUAAGUAUUUACUGACGCUGAGGCA